rnacentral:rRNA from 1 species
GAUGAACGCUGGCGGCGUGCCUAAUACAUGCAAGUCGAGCGAACGGACGAGAAGCUUGCUUUUCUGAUGUUAGCGGCGGACGGGUGAGUAACACGUGGAUAACCUACCUAUAAGACUGGGAUAACUUCGGGAAACCGGAGCUAAUACCGGAUAAUAUUUUGAACCGCAUGGUUCAAAAGUGAAAGACGGUCUUGCUGUCACUUAUAGAUGGAUCCGCGCUGCAUUAGCUAGUUGGUAAGGUAACGGCUUACCAAGGCAACGAUGCAUAGCCGACCUGAGAGGGUGAUCGGCCACACUGGAACUGAGACACGGUCCAGACUCCGACGGGAGGCAGCAGUAGGGAAUCUUCCGCAAUGGGCGAAAGCCUGACGGAGCAACGCCGCGUGAGUGAUGAAGGUCUUCGGAUCGUAAAACUCUGUUAUCAGGGAAGAACAUAUGUGUAAGUAACUGUGCACAUCUUGACGGUACCUAAUCAGAAAGCCACGGCUAACUACGUG